GUAAAACCUUAAAUCUAUAGUACGUGAUUACAACAAUAGCACCUCUAAGAAAGUCCAACUUCAAUAGGUGUGAAUUAUUAGAAGAAAAGGCCCGAGUCUGCUUCCGGGCCUUUUCUUUUUCUUUCUUUUCGAGUCCUCGGGCAAGACCCGACGGAUAUUAUACUCCGCAGUGCCAUCCAUCAAGCCGGAUUAAAUCCAGUGGCGGGUAUAGCGCCAGUUCGGAGGUAAGGCAAGGUGAAUCCGGGACUGGAAUCGAUCGGCAACCGCCAAUCCAAGCCGACAUCGCGCCCACCUGCUCGUAGAUUCGAUCACCUCGAUAUACAUUGCUGGGGCAACCGCCGUCACCAUCCGCCAUCGUGCCCAUUGUGGUUGCAGGCCCUCCCAAACGAAGAUCCUUUGGCGACCGCCGACACCAUCCGCCAUCGAGCCAAUUUAGGUCGCAGGCCUACAUACCCCGACGAAAAGGCAACCACCCACUUCAAUUCCCGGCCACCAUCGCGCGGAUUGGAUCGUAGCCGCAAGCCUCCCGUCGCCGAGCAAUCGACCACCUCCAGCGGCCGCCACCACGGUAAAGUUUCGUGUCUACCCAUCGCCACCAAGCCAACCACAAAUUUCCGAGAAGGUCCGAAGCACUCCCGGUACCCCAUUAGAAACAUCCAAGCCCGAAAGCAGCAUGAUCCCGCCGGAUUGUGACCGGAAAACCUCGUCAUCGUCAGCA